UGCUUUGCGCAGUGGCAGUAUNGUACCCAGUGAGGUUAAUCCAAGGUGUGAUUAUUGCUAAUUGAAAACUUUUCCCAAUACCCCGCCAUGACGACUUGAAAUAUAGUUACCAAAUGAUUUCUUGCCUUGCCCCAAAACUGGU
rnacentral:snRNA from 1 species